rnacentral:rRNA from 1 species
GAUGAACGCUGGCGGCGUGCCUAAUACAUGCAAGUCGAGCGAACAGACGAGGAGCUUGCUCCUUCGACGUUAGCGGCGGACGGGUGAGUAACACGUAGGUAACCUACCUAUAAGACUGGGAUAACUUCGGGAAACCGGAGCUAAUACCGGAUAAUAUUUUGAACCGCAUGGUUCGAUAGUGAAAGAUGGCUUUGCUAUCACUUAUAGAUGGACCUGCGCCGCAUUAGCUAGUUGGUAAGGUAACGGCUUACCAAGGCAACGAUACGUAGCCGACCUGAGAGGGUGAUCGGCCACACUGGAACUGAGACACGGUCCAGACUCCUACGGGAGGCAGCAGUAGGGAAUCUUCCGCAAUGGGCGAAAGCCUGACGGAGCAACGCCGCGUGAGUGAUGAAGGUCUUCGGAUCGUAAAACUCUGUUAUUAGGGAAGAACAAACGUGUAAGUAACUGUGCACGUCUUGACGGUACCUAAUCAGAAAGCCACGGCUAACUACGUG